UGCUGGACACUGGUGACCCAAAGAUGAUGAUAAAUAUGUUCCUGUCCACAAGGAGCUAGCGAUCCACUGGGGGUUCCUCUUGCUGAUGACACAAUUCCUGUGUGAAUCUGUUUAUAAGAUUCUGAAAGCUGAACAGAGAAUUUUGGCACUGCACUGGGUAAGAAAAAGCAUUGCAAGAAGUAGAUAACAUCAAGGACAUCAGGAGUGGGAGAGAGUGGCCUGGGAGGCUCAGCAGGUCAGGACAUUUCCAUUAUCAUUUGCUGUUUGUUCUUUUACCAUCAAUUCUAGAAUUCUCAAGUCUCUUGCCACUUGUUUCUUUCUUGA